AAUGACUUACUUCAUAAAGGUGGCGCUGAUAUCACUAAAAUGAUUUAUUUUGACAGCUCAUUCACAAGCAAAUUUGACAAUCAAGAAAGAACAGUUAGCAGUUUAAAUUUCUUAAUACGAAUUGGCUCAGAUUAAUUCAAACAGUAAAGGUUGAAUUACGAAUGAUCUUUUAAGUUUGACGUUUAGAGAAGUGUCAACAACAUCGAAAAGACAUAAAAUACACAUUCGUUUUAAAAAAUUACGUACUCUUGAAAAAAAAACAUUCACUUUGCUGCAACUGCAGUAGUUUAAUUUUUGUUCAUGCCAAAGAAACCACAAUCGGUUGUUAAAGGUUCUUUAACAACCAAACACUUUCAAUAAUCUUCAUUAUAAAGUCUUCAAUAGUACGAGUGGAUAAAGUAUAUAGGCAUCAUAUACGGAAUCCUUGUUCAUCAUCAUAUUCUUCUUUUAUUUCAUAUUUUCUUCUUUUUGAUGCUGAUGAUGAUAAUAAUCAUCCUUGGCUUUUGUACUACAAUAUACCGGAAAAUAAAUGAGAACACUUCAAAGACAAACCAUCGGUUAAUGAUGUUGCGCUAUAUGAUGCUGCUGCUUCUUCUUCGUUUUACUCAUUUUUUCGAACAAGCCAAAGCCACUCUACGCCUCCAUCCGUAUCAUUGCAUUCAUUUUUUCUUGAGAAGAUGAUGAUGAAGAACACAGCUUUUGGUUAAAUUCCUUCUUCGUUUCUUUUUUGUUGUUGUUGUUGCAACUAUCAACAUCAUCAUCAUCUUCAUCACCCUCUAGUUCACCUUCGAUUUAGCAUUUUUUCGUUGCAGUUUAAUGUAGGCUGAGGCUGUAGCAGAGGCUGAAGCAUGAGGCUGAGGCAAGCAUCUCCUUAAGAGAGUAUGUUGGGUCUUAUGAGCUCAUCUCUUGUCAUCUUCAACCAUGAAUUGGUCUUUAAUGGUGAAUGCAACUCAUUAAAGGAUGCUCUUACAGCAAAUCUGUGUGGCACUGGGAUACGAAAAAAAAACUGAACUGCAUGAAAAGAUUCUGGUUUUAUAGAUACUUUUAUUCUUCAUCUUCGUCGUCGACGUAUUAUGAUUUUAUUUUUACAUUUUUUACUUGCUAAAAAAUUGAAGUGAUGGUAGUUUGUAGAUGGAAAGGUCAUCUAGAUCAACUUUCUAUAUUUUUGUCUUCCUUCCUUCUUCUCAAAUCCAGUAGAUGGUGAUGAUGAUGAUGACGCUGACGCUGCGAACUGCUGCUGAUGGUGUAGUAAGCUUCCUUUUUUGUGCGUUAAUCUUCUUUUUCAUGCAGACGAGGCAAGGCAAGGCAACUACAAACGACCGAGGACAAUGAAGAGGACGACAGAGGCGCGCACAGAGAGUAGAAAAAGGAAAUUGGUGAAUCGGUUAUUUAAGAAGAAAAAGGAAUAAUACCAUAUAACCUUGGAAUACAGAUUAUAUGGAAAGGGAGGUCUAUAAUGAGGUUGAUAUUAGGCUCUAUAUGUAUGAACGACUUUAAGCGCCCGACUCUAGCAGAUGGUUAUAGGUUGUAUACCUACUUCUAGGUAUAUAAGGAAAAACUUAAGGAGCUUUGUACUUUGUACUCUCGAAUUGAGUUCUGCGUAUAUAGCGAGCGUAUCCUUACAUCAGGAUAAAAUAUAAUUGGAUUUUCCCUUGUUUAAUUUGGCACUUAUUUUUAAUCUUUGAUUGUAGUAUAGUUGUUCCUUACCAUCAUCAUCAACUUCAACAUAAUCAAUGAAAAGCGGCAACGAUAGUGGCAGCGGCAGUGAAAGUCCGCCCUGCGUCAGUCCUUACCAUUCAACCGUCAGCCUUCAGCCUUCAGCCAGCGGGUGUGCCAUAGUGACAUGGAAUCAUAACGAAUACGCAAUAAACCCAAAACCUAUGUAAUUUAAUUUUUAUAUUUUUGUAAUUAUUGUAAGAAUGUUGUAAAAUGCGACAAGAACAUGUGUUUUAUGCCAAUUAUAUUGAGACUUGUACUUUUUUUGGUUGUUGCUCUUUCUAUAGAAAAGGAUAUAAAAGGACGAUUUUAAGGAAUUGACAUAAGCUUAAGGGAAUUAAGUCAGUUGAUAUAUUUUUUGUUG